GCCACGGUGCUGGAACUGGUAGACAGGCACGCUUCAGGGGCGUGUGUCGGCAACGGCGUGAGAGUUCAAAUCUCUCCCGUGGCA
rnacentral:tRNA from 1 species